rnacentral:rRNA from 1 species
CGGGAUUCCCUGAGUAAGGGCGACUGAAAGGGGAUUAGCCCAGCGCAUAACCUCGCGGCCCUGUUGCGGCCGUUGAGGGGUGUUGCGUUUCGGUGGAUCCGUACCGCUCGAGCUGCUGACCGCCUAAGUCAUUGCUUGAAUGCAGCCCCGAGGAGGGUGGUAGGCCCGUGUGGCGGCGCCUGUAAAAAGGUUUGGAGGCAGCUUGAGCGGAGGGGUCUUUACCGUAGAGUCGGGUUGCUUAGUACUGCAGCCCUAAGUAGGUGGUAAACUCCAUCUAAGGCUAAAUACUACCACGAGUCCGAUAUUUGACAAGUACCGUGAGGGAAAGCUGAAAAGGACUCUGAAGAGAGAGUUCAAGAGGACGUGAAACCAUUAGAAGCUGAAACGGGUGGAACCGUGAAGGUGGAAAGAGGGGAUUCAGGCUGUGGGGGCGCGCGCUGGCCGCAGGUGGGCCUAAGAGAGAGGACCCGGCAUACCAGUGAGUUGCCCGGGCCCCUGCGUGCUGGGCGCGCGUGCCGGCGGCUUUACUUCUCCCUCGAGUACUGGUGGUGGCGACCCGCUGGCCGGACCCCGAGGGCUCCUGGGGACUGGUAGCCUGCACCCUGGGUGCAGGUGAGGACCCCGUGGAGUACUGACUGGGUUUGGCCGGCGGUCACUGCAAGGAGGCGGGCUGGCUCCUCUCGGGGGGCCGGGCCGCCUCUCGCCAUGUGAGAGGUAUCGGUAAUCCACCCGACCCGUCUUGAAACACGGACCAAGGAGUCCAACAUGUGCGCGAGUCUAAGGGUGGUCUAAACCCGGAGGCGAAAUGAAAGUGAGCCCUUGUGAGGGCAGGCCGAUCCCCUGUCGUUCGGGAGGCCGCGUUAGCGCCGCCGUGAGCUAGUUUCCGGCGUGUGGGUUACGCGGUCUGCUGGGCGGCGGCCCCGUGGCCUUCGGGCGGCGGGGAGAUGGGGCGCAGGCCGAGGACUUGCCGUUGUGCGGCGCGGGCAACGGGGGGCAUCCAAUGCCUCCUUAUCCCGACGUCCGCCGGCAAGUACCUGAGAGCGCAGCCGUUGGGACCCGAAAGAUGGUGAACUAUGCCUGGCGAGGACGAAGCCAGAGGAAACUCUGGUGGAGGUCCGAAGCAGUUCUGACGUGCAAAUCGAUUGUCAGAGCUGGGUAUAGGGGCGAAAGACUAAUCGAACCA